UCUCCAUACCGAACGUCUACCGCACCGCUGUUGUACCGCUGCCAUACCGACCCGUCUGAAAGCGGCCUAAAAGAGUAAAUGCAAAACUGCUAGAAGUCGGCACACAAACUCACCUAUGAAAGAUAACUAAAGUUGCCGUUGCUGCCUGAUCCUAGUUUUAAUACUACCAACUGAUAAACUAAAUUCAUUAAUUUCAAAUUUAUUGAGAGUGGAGGCUAUGUUAUAUAUGAAAAUCAUUUUUUAAAAGACCCUUUAUUGUGCUUGGGGAUCGUAAAAAUAUGCUUCUUAUCUACGUUAAGCAGAUUUACUAAGUGCAUCUAUAAACUUCGAUGGAUCUGACGAACGAGCUAUGCCACCACAACCACCAGAUGUCUCUAUGCUAUCUCUCGUGCCUUCAUUGUUUUUUUGAAAAAAACCUACAAAAUCAUGGUAUAAACUUUAAGUUAGGAUGAAAAUAUACUAGACAGAAAAAAGCAUAAAUAUGUUCUAACUAACUAUACAAAUUUUUUAUUGAAUAUAUAAAGGGUGUUUCAAUAAGA